GACGAACGCUGGCGGCGUGCUUAACACAUGCAAGUCGAACGGAAAGGCCCUGCUUGCAGGGUGCUCGAGUGGCGAACGGGUGAGUAACACGUGGGUGAUCUGCCCCAUACUUUGGGAUAAGCCUGGGAAACUGGGUCUAAUACUGGAUAGGACCAUGCUGUAGGUGGUGUGGUGGAAAGAUUAGUUUCGGUAAGGGAUGAGCUCGCGGCCUAUCAGCUGGUUGGUGGGGUAAUGGCCUACCAAGGCGUCGACGGGUAGCCGGCCUGAGAGGGUGGACGGCCACAUUGGGCCUUGGAUACGGCCCAGACUCCUACGGGAGGCAGCAGUGGGGAAUAUUGCACAAUGGGCGCAAGCCUGAUGCAGCGACGCCGCGUGGGGGAUGACGGCCUUCGGGUUGUAAACUCCUUUCAGCCAUGACGAAGCCCUUGUGGUGACGGUAGUGGUAGAAGAAGCACCGGCUAACUACGU
rnacentral:rRNA from 1 species